CCCUUAGAUGUUCUGGGCUGCACGCGCGCUACACUGUCGGAUUCAGCGAGUCAUAUCCUUAACCGAAAGGUUUGGGUAAUCUUUUGAAAGUCCGACGUGAUGGGGAUUGAUCAUUGCAAUUAUUGAUCAUGAACGAGGAAUUCCUAGUAAGCGCGAGUCAUCAGCUCGCGUUGAUUACGUCCCUGCCCUUUGUACACACCGCCCGUCGCUACUACCGAUUGAAUGGCUUAGUGAGGCCCUCGGAUUGAGCCAAGGCUCCUUCACGGGAGCUCUGGAUUGAGAAGUUGGUCAAACUUGGUCAUUUAGAGGAAGUAAAAGUCGUAACA
rnacentral:rRNA from 1 species